rnacentral:rRNA from 1 species
UACGAAGGUGGCAAGCGUUGCUCGGAAUCACUGGGCGUAAAGGGCGCGUAGGCGGGAUGGCAAGUCGGUCGUGAAAUCUCUGGGCUCAACUCAGGGGGGUCGGCCGAUACUGCCAUUCUUGAGGGAUGCAGAGGAGACUGGAAUUCCCGGUGUAGCGGUGAAAUGUGUAGAGAUCGGGAGGAACACCGGUGGCGAAGGCGGGUCUCUGGGCAUUCCCUGACGCUGAGGCGCGAAAGCGUGGGGAGCGAACAGG